UCAGUUACUUAUGUGGUGUUGGUGGGAAAGGGACUGGACUGUAAAAAGUGGCACCCUGCUGCUGUGUAUUGUAAAACCGUGUAAUUGUGUUUUAGGCACUUGGUGGUGAAUUAAUGGAUGACUAAAAAUGUUACUGCACUUCUCUCCCAUUCAUUGUGUUACAGGUAGACUGCAUAAAUAUUUUCCAUUCGUAAUUCAUGAAUUGCUGCAUUUGCAGAGUGGGCUGCACCGAGUGGAACCACUUAACGCACAUCCACAGUACAUCUUCCGAGAUAGGUGUGGCUAUGUCUGAUGGAAUGUGACUGUUAAUAUUGAAGUCUAUAACAGUUAUCUGCUGUAACGCAUUGCUUGACUUAUGUUGAAAUAUCUGAACAACUGUUAUAGUCUUGGUGACCUACUUUUGUUGCAGUGGAUUAAUCCUCUGAGCCUCAUCGUAUUUUUGGAGAACUGAGGCAGGGUGAUGCAUUUGAUAACCCUCGUGCUGUGAAAAGUAUUCCAGCUUGUGACAAUGGAGACAAUGAAAUCUACAAUGUCCUGUACAUAUUGACAGUGUGUCCUAUUUGGAAGAGUCUCUUCAGCGUGGUAGACAAUUGACAGUUCCAGCUGUUGAACUUUUUUACAUGAUAUGAGUAGCUCACUCAACAACUGCAAAUAAGUACCCAGUAAACUGAAAAUAACUCCACUGUGUAAACAUGAGCUCAGUGAAGUUAUUCUGUCCAUUUGCACAAUACAAAUGGACAGGAAAUGCUGGGGAGCAGCACCUGUGGUGGGGGAAGCUGCCUUUCCCGUAACGGAUCACUAACAAUCAGUUUCUCCUCUUGCAGUGUAGAACAUUGUGCAGAGAUUUACAUAUGUCCAGUUCAUGUACAUUCCCUGCAUUAGUGUUGUUAGUAACUUGUAUCUGCAUUCUGUGUAGUGUUAACUCAUUUUGUGCAAAAUAAACCCUCCCCACGGACAUCUGCGCGCUGUGUCACCAGCGAUUCGUGUGGCGUAUUGUGGACAGAGAACUUUGUGAUGUACCCUGUAGUUGCUUCUUGUGACGUAGCGAGGGGGAUCAACUGCUUAACCUUCAGUUUGCUUACCUAGGAAGGAGGGAAGUACAUUAAUUUUUUACCAUUUGAACAAUAUUUUUAGUGCUGUAAUUUGCAAUUUUUUUCAUCCUCUGCAAACUAUUAGUCCCAGAGAAAAAGUGACUAGAACCUUUUUUGGCAGGGAAGUGAAUGCAGGUUAAUUUUGUAUUGGGGAAGAAUUUCCCCAGGAUCCGUUGUUUUUGAGUCAUUCAAGAACAAAAAUAAAAAAUGACCUUUAAACCUACCCCCACACCAAUGCUCACACUCCACAGGUCCGGGUUUUUAGUACAAUGUUUAUGACAAUAUCUCCUAGAACUGUGUAAAACUUUGUGACUACAUGACUUUUCCUCUAAUUUUCCUUCAUUGACUGGACUAAAUGUUAGUGUUUGGAACUGACACAGAUAGUGAAGGGCUUCAUCAUCAAAGGCAUUUAGCGACAGCUGUAAACAGAAUGGCAGAAGAACCUUUUGAGAGGACGGAAAAGAAACCCGAGCCUGUCAGCAUUACCUCUCCUGAAAUGUAAGAAACUGGUGGAUUCCAAGACAAAAUUGUGGAAAAUGGAGACAUCUUCAAAUAACAGAAAGAAAUAAAGGCUGAAGAGGCAGGACCACAGAUGUCAGAUGAAAGUUGCCGCAAAAAAAGGUUAAGUUGGAAAACAGUGAAAAUGAAAAUGGAUGCUUGUGCAGUGACUGAAGUUGAAGUCAUAAAUUGAGGAUAAUGAAGCUACACGAGAAAGCUCUCAGCUCUACAGUCCGAGUCUGACCGACUUGUCCGACGAGCAACUGUCGGCGGCACUGCGAUCGCAGGCCCCUCAUGGUGUGCGCUUACUCAGGCAAGUGUCGUGGGGAUUUGUUAAUGUAGAGGCUGACUGUACGCUGUAGGUGCC
rnacentral:lncRNA from 1 species